rnacentral:rRNA from 1 species
UACGUAGGGUGCGAGCGUUGUCCGGAAUUAUUGGGCGUAAAGAGCUCGUAGGCGGUCUGUCACGUCGGGAGUGAAAACUCAGGGCUUAACCCUGAGCCUGCUUCCGAUACGGGCAGACUAGAGGUAUGCAGGGGAGAACGGAAUUCCUGGUGUAGCGGUGAAAUGCGCAGAUAUCAGGAGGAACACCGGUGGCGAAGGCGGUUCUCUGGGCAUUACCUGACGCUGAGGAGCGAAAGUGUGGGGAGCGAACAGG